ensembl:lncRNA
GGGAUCACUGGGUCUGGAUGUAACAUAGACGGGAUCACUGGGUCUGGAUGUAACAUAGACAGGAUCACUGGGUCUGGAUGCAACAUUAUAGACAGGAUCACUGGGUCUGGAUGUAACAUUAUAGACAGGAUCACUGGGUCUGGAUGUAACAUUAUAGACAGGAUCACUGGGUCUAGACGUAACACAUGUACAGUCAGCGAUGUCACAUGACCUUUAAAAAGCCUUGACCUUCUCACUUUUGACCUCAAGAGUAUACAUGGCUACGAUUGGCAAAACCCCAAAGAACAUUGAGCCAGUGAGACGUCUGGUCCAGAGGCUCCCUCUCCGCAGGGCGGGGCCAACAAGUAGGCCAGGCUGUCUGGUUUCAACACACCCUAAAAGGCCUUUCACUGCUGGGUCCAACCGACAUGGCUAACCUUCAAUGAAAUACACUCUUGUGUGAUGCGCAACCUUGCUUGGGCUUUAGCUCAACAGGCUAACACAGUUUUGCAGCGCACAGUCGACCCAGGUUCAAACCCACACUGACCUCAGAAAAAAACACUGUUGCUUAGUUACCUCUUGUGUCCAUGGGAACAAUUCAACUUUUAUUUACAGUUUCAGUCUCAGACAUUUUUAAAAGGUAGACUGAGCUAACUGACGUGAUGCCACGAGCAGCACCCGCAGAUAUUGAGAUGAGCGAGAUGCAACACUUCUCUCUCUCACACCAGUCACACACAGUAUCUGCGCAUGUGCACAGGUUUGCUUCACGCUGUUCGCAGCCCCGGCAGCCAGGGGACCAAAACAGCGGACAAGUUGAGCAUCAUGCUUCAACACUCUUACGUUUGAGCCGCUAUGCCGUUUACUUUCUGCAUGUACGUCAUAUUGCUGAGUCUACCUUUAAAUUAAACGUAUUUAAUUAAAUAUUCCACAGAUGUUUUUUAGGAUGUACAAUAGCUAUUUUAGUAUGAAUUAUUUAAAAAAAUAAAAAAUACAAAAAAAUGUAAAUAAAUAUGUAUUUUGUGACGUUAUAUGUUUUUUAAAGUACAGUUUAUAACAUUAAGUUAUGGAAAAGUGUAUAACAGAAUGGAAGGAGAAAAGGGCUUUAUAUUAGUUCCAAUGGCUCCAUAUUCCCUAUAUAGUACACUACUGUUGAGCAGGGCCUAUAGGGCCCUAUUCCCUAUAUAUAGUACACUACUGUUGACCAGGGCCUAUAGGGCCCUAUUCCCUAUUUAUAGUACACUACUGUUGACCAGGGCCUAUAGGGCCCUAUUCCCUAUAUAUAGUACACUACUGUUGACCAGGGCCUAUAGGGCCCUAUUCCCUAUUUAUAGUACACUAUGUUGACCAGGGCCCUGUGGGCCCUACGUAUAGGGCUCUGAUUGAAAGUAGUAUGCUGUAUAGGGAAUAAUUUGGGUCGCAGCCUCAGUACUACAAGUCACGUGACUGUUUUAAAGAGCCCUGUAGUAAGAUGUUAUGAUAACGUUGUGACUAUGUUGUCUGGCCGUUAUGAUAGUGGUGACAUGACAUCAGCUCAACGUUGGUUAGCCUCUCUUUCUUUCUCUCAGUAAUGUUUUUGCUCUACAGUCUCUACAUCGCUCUACUCUCCUUUGGUCUUCCUUUCUGCACUCUCCCCUCUCUCUUCCUCCCACUCUCUUUGCCACCCACACCCUCCCUCUUUCUCUGAUGGGGUGGUGGGCUGUGCCUUAGCUGUUCUCCUGUCUAAGGGCUCUAAUUCAAUCUAUAUCGCUGAAGUUCAGCGUUACAGUGCGAUUGAAAUGUAAAAGCAAUGUUCGUUAGCUGAGACUGCAUUCCCGGUAAAUUCUGCACAUGUUCGCUCAAUCAGGAAAUGAUUUUCACGUUUCUAUUGAGCAAUCUGUAAGGCUUCGGCUUCAGACUGACUAGAGCCCUCAGGUUUGGGAUUCAAUCAAAGACGCAUUCUGUCUGCGGAGAAAGCAUUUGCGGUAAACGCUACGAAUGUUGUGGCUCAACCGUAAUUGACCUGUAAAAGUUAAAGUGCAGUGAGCUUGUUGACAAUGCGGCCGGAGUUCAUUCUCAACCUUCUGUCUGUGACAAACAAACACUUCUGAUGUUGUUGAUGCCUUCUGGAUUCACUUGUGGUUUGUGUCUACAUUUUGAAAUAAAUUAAGGAAAUAAGA